GACUUGUGAAGCAUUUAACACAAUCUGUUGCUGUCCCUUCUCCAAGGAUGUGAUUGACUUAGAUGGCACAAUCUGAUUUUGGGCAACUAUAGGCAAUGACGUUGACGUUCGAUUAGCAAUUAUAGUUUCACCUGGUUUUGUAGUAUUUUUUGGAAGAAAUAUCGGAGCAUUAUGGUUCAAGAUUGUCCUUCUGUUUGCAACAGUUUGCAUAUUGACAGUGUACUGGCCUGACGAUGUAUUCCUUCGACUUUUGAACUGAUCGUCGUAAUCCUCUCUAGCUG
rnacentral:lncRNA from 1 species